rnacentral:rRNA from 1 species
UAAGGAAUAUUGGACAAUGGAGGCAACUCUGAUCCAGCCAUGCCGCGUGAAGGAAUAAGGCCCUAUGGGUUGUAAACUUCUUUUAGACGGGACAAAACCCCUUUACGUGUAAAGGGUUGAUGGUACUGUCAGAAUAAGCAUCGGCUAACUUCGUGCCAGCAGCCGCGGUAAUACGAAGGACGCAAGCGUUAUCCGGAAUUAUUGGGUUUAAGGGUGCGUAGGCGGACUAAUAAGUCAGUGGUGAAAGCCUGCAGCUUAACUGCAGAAUUGCCAUUGAUACUGUUAGUCUUGAGUACAGUUGAGGUAGGCGGAAUGUGUCAUGUAGCGGUGAAAUGCUUAGAUAUGACACAGAACACCGAUUGCGAAGGCAGCUUGCUAAGCUGUAACUGACGCUGAGGCACGAAAGCGUGGGGAGCAAACA